AUGCCAGAAUUUGGCAGAAGAGCAAGGCUGGGUCCUCUCCAGCAUCCCACAGCUCUUCCCUGCAAGGGGAAUUUCCAGAUGAUUCUCAUUUUAUACAAGAAAGCAAUUCAAUCCAAAAUAACGCUGGGUUGUUCUCUGCUCACAUGCAUCCUACAAGCUUUCAUUCUUUGCAGAGAAAUGAAGAUGACCGCAGGGCAGGAAAAAUACAACUGCAGUGCUGGAGUCUCAGCUAAGGUGGGGAAUCUGUCAGAUGGGAAAUGUGACUGCACUGACAGACAAGCCUGUGAACCUGCUUGGUGAAGGCGCUUUAUAAACUCCUGCUAGAGGUGAACUUCACACGUGGAUGUUGCCUCCUUAGCUCCCAGUGCUCAGCCCAGCAUCUCCAUCCAGCAGCUGCUGUUCCACAACGCUUGGCCAGGCGUGCUCAUGUCACAGCUUACUGGGGUGAGAAGGGCCACCAGUGUUUUCUUCUGGCUGGUUUGUUCUCUGUGAGCUGGCAUUACAGGCUGGCAAACUGGGAUGGAGUUUUGCUUUGCUCUGUGAACCAGCAGCAGGCACUGCCUGCUGUGGCUGCUCAGUGGGCUGGCUUCUGCCCUCCCAACAGCAAGCACACAGCUGUCGGCUACAGCACCAUGAAAUCUCAUCCUUUGCUGCGGUGUGUGCUAAACUGCAUCUUGAUUUAUGGAGAUUGUUUCUGGAGAGGCUGUUGUUUAGCAGAAAAUAAAGAACAUCGGACUUCAUAUUUAAUAAGCUUG
rnacentral:lncRNA from 1 species